rnacentral:siRNA from 1 species
GGACAGAAGAAACUACCCUAUCAG